GAUGAACGCUAGCGGCAGGCUUAACACAUGCAAGUCGAGGGGUAUAGUGGCAAUACUAGAGACCGGCGCACGGGUGCGUAACGCGUAUGCAACCUACCUUUUACAGAGGGAUAGCCCCAGAGAAAUUUGGAUUAAUACCUCAUAGUGUUAUUAGAUGGCAUCAUUUGAUAACUAAAGUUCCAACGGUAAAGAUGGGCAUGCGUCCUAUUAGCUAGAUGGUAAGGUAACGGCUUACCAUGGCUACGAUAGGUAGGGGUCCUGAGAGGGAGAUCCCCCACACUGGUACUGAGACACGGACCAGACUCCUACGGGAGGCAGCAGUGAGGAAUAUUGGACAAUGGGCGCAAGCCUGAUCCAGCCAUGCCGCGUGCAGGAAGAAGCAUCUAUGGUGUGUAAACUGCUUUUGUACGGGAAGAAACACUCCUACGUGUAGGAGCUUGACGGUACCGUAAGAAUAAGGAUCGGCUAAACUCCGUGCCAGCAG
rnacentral:rRNA from 1 species